rnacentral:tRNA from 1 species
GGGACAUUAGUUUAAUGGAAAAACAGAUGGACGCAUCUAUGCGAGUUCGAUUCUCGUAUGUCCUGCA